UGUUAAAAAGUUGAAAUCCACGAAUUCAUAUCCCCAAGAAAUUACUGUUUUGACCAAAACCACGAAAUUUCAUGCCCACGAAAUUAAAUGAUUUUACAGUAUUUAGGGAAAUAUUUCAAGGAUGCUUACAUUUAAUUUUUUUGGAGAAACAAAAAAAUUUGACUAAUACAUUUUAACUGUAAAUUGUCUAAUCUUUGAUCUUUCCAACAAUACAUAUAAAUGGUACAGGUAACCUAACUGUCAAAACCACAAAUAAAAGCAGCAGAAGUCAUCUCCGUUGUAACUCUAAUUUUGUCUUAUGUGGAUACAAAUUCAACCAGUACCUUUCCAACAGACUAGACCAAGGCUUUUGUGUAGGCAUUCAGUUUUAUGUAAAUGUAUAUGUAGGGAAUAUUUGCUGGUUUUCAAUCUGACUUGAUCUUCUAAACAAAGAUCUGAAAACAACCCAUUCACAUACGUCUUCUGUAUAUUUUGGAUUUCCAGUAUUUCUAUUUUUAUUUUAACCAAUCAGACGACUUGUUCGAAUGUCAAAGAGUAAGCAAAAUGUGCUGUCAUUCCAGGGCUCGAACCAGGGACCCCUCACUUACAAAGUGAGUGGCCUAUCGACUGAGCUAACCGGCUAUCUGAUAAAGUACGACAUAAGAAUUGUAAGUAUCAAAAGUCAAGGCUACAGGUAGAUUUGCAAAAUGUUGUAAGUUAAGCUCUGAUUGGCUAGUGAAAGGGUCGUCAGAAUGAGGCUAUGAAUAGGUCAUUCUCAGAUCCUGUGCGUAGCACAAUAGGAGAUGUACUUUAGUCAGAUUGUGCUGCUUUUAAUCUCUGAAGCAGAUCUCUGAUUUCAAAACGUUGAACAAUUUAUCGAGAAUUCCUUUUUAAAGAAUCUUAAAUUACAAGCCUAAGUAUAUACUUAAAAGCCAAGGAAGUGCACCAUUUUGAGCAACUGAAGAGCUACUAGGAUAUUGAAUAUUGUUUUGACUUAAGAUACAUGUAUAUUGUCAAUCCAUAAUUUUAAAUUUCACUAGCUAAAUGGUGUAUGAAAUCUGUCGAAAUUACAAUUUAACUCCAAACCACAUGUUUAAAUGAAAUGUUUUAUUAAUUGUAUGUAUAGAUCGGACACACACUGCGUAGAGCCCAGCCCAACAUAGUAAGACAAGCCCUGGACUGGAAUCCUUGAGGCACAAGGAGAAGAAGAAGGCUCACAAAAAUCUUGGCGCAGGACUCUGGAUAUUGAGCUCUGUAAAACGAAGAUGUCAUGGGAAGAGGCCAAAGCCUGGGCCAUGGACCGGACUAGAUGGAGAGCUGUUGUGAAGGCCCUAUGCUCCCAUUGGAGUGAAGAGAAUUAAAUGAUGAAAUGUGCAAAGUAACAGAACAGCAGAAUGACUACAGAUGUAAAGACGUGCAAAUGUUUGUUCUAUGAGGGAAUUGGUGCACACCACAGAAUGAGGGUAGUCGGACAGUAUGAAAACAGUAAAGAAGAAUGUUUACAGACCUGCCAUAAAAAGAUGCAAGUAGUAUUGGGGGAACACUGUGGAUGUUUGGAUUUCAUGGUAUUUAGUGGAGAAUGGUGUAGAUUGUCUACUGUUCAACCUGCUUGUACUUGGAUAUCUGAUGGACAAGACUGGAUUUGUGUGGAGGAAAUCCCUAACUUACAUUUAUCUGAUUGAGACAGUGCCUUUAAUGAUGAAAGCUACGAAUGGAAGGACUUCAAAGAGUUGGACCAUCAGAUCUUCAGUUUUCCAAAGAACAUUCCAGUAUUUACUGCCGCUGGACAAGGGAAGACAACUUGGUGACAUGCAGUCCUACAACCCAGAAAGAAGUCCAGACAUUUGUCCAGACAUUAUUUAUAAAGACAUUGUGGAUUAGAGUGUAACAGACAUUGUGGAUUAGAGUGUAGCAGACAUGGUGGAUUAGAAUUUUACAGACAUUGUGGAUUAGAAUUUUACAGACAUUUUGGAUUAGAGUGUAACAGACAGUGUGGAUUAGAAUGUUACAGACAUUGUAGAUUAGAAGAUCCAGCCUGGUCAGACCCUGAUAAUUUUGUUUGGUUUCUCAACAUCCAGCUGCUAGGUUUUUAAAACAACAUGUUUGUUAGUGCUGCCCCUGCAGAAGAUCUUCCAGGCUUUUCCACAUUUGUUCUGAGAUUCCUGAUGUAGAUGUCAUGGGUAAGACAAACAGUUGACACAAAAUAAAAAACUGUAUCAGUAUUUUGUAAUAUAGGGUCUUAGAUGCUUACGUUUACAAA
rnacentral:lncRNA from 1 species